UACGGAGGGUGCGAGCGUUAUCCGGAAUCACUGGGUUUAAAGGGUACGUAGGCCGGCCCAUAAGUCAGGGGUGAAAGGCCGCGGCUCAACCGCGGGACUGCCCUUGAUACUGUGGGCCUUGAGUUCGGAUGAGGGCGGCGGAAUGGUACAUGUAGCGGUGAAAUGCUUAGAUAUGUACCGGAACACCGAUUGCGAAGGCAGCCGCCCGGGCCGUGACUGACGCUGAGGUACGAAAGCGUGGGUAGCGAACAGG
rnacentral:rRNA from 1 species